rnacentral:lncRNA from 1 species
UGGCACGGUACUUAUCUAUCCCAAAUUCUUGUAUUUGGUUUUGAUGUUAUAUUUGUUAUUCUCGUGGUGUUUUGUCUGUUGCUUGGUCUGUUUCUGUGUGUGUUGCGUUUCGGUGUUGUGUCGUUGUUCUCCUCUUAUAUUUAAUGCGUUUCCCUCGGUUUUAGUUUGUUACCCCGAUUUUGUUUUUUGUCCAUGGAUUUAUGAGUUUUGAACAGCGGUAUACUACUGUUGCCUUUACUUAUCCCAGACAUAGAUUACCUUAGCCGUAUUUGGCACAACUUUUUGGAAUUUUGGAUCCUCAAUGCUCUUCAACUUUGUACUUGUUUGGCUUUACAAAUAUUUUGAUAUGAGCGUCACUGAUGAGUCUUAUGUGGACGAAACGCGCGUCUGGCGUACUAAAUUAUAAUCCUGGUACCUUUGAUAACUAUAAUCAUAUA